GUACGGAAGGAUCCAAGCUGUUACGUCCGGAUUUAUUGGGGUUUAAAGGGUGCGUAGGCGGCCUGUUAAGUCAGGGGUGAAAGACGGUAGCUCAACUAUCGCAGUGCCCUUGAUACUGAUGGGCUUGAAUGUACUAGAGGCAGGCGGAAUGAGACAAGUAGCGGUGAAAUGCAUAGAUAUGUCUCAGAACACCGAUUGCGAAGGCAGCUUGCUAUGGUUUUAUUGACGCUGAGGCACGAAAGCGUGGGGAUCAAACAGG
rnacentral:rRNA from 1 species